CCUACGGGCGGCACCAGUAAGGAAUAUUGCGCAAUGGGCGAAAGCCUGACGCAGCGACGCCGCGUGGGGGAUGAAGGUCUUCGGAUUGUAAACCCCUUUCGGGAGGGAAGAUGGGAUGGGGUAACCCAUUCGGACGGUACCUCCAGAAGCAGCCACGGCUAACUUCGUGCCAGCAGCCGCGGUAAUACGGGGGGCAAGUGUUCUUCGGAAUGACUGGGCGUAAAGGGCACGUAGGCGGUGAAUCGGGUUGAAAGUGAAAGUCGCCAAAAACUGGCGGAAGACUCUCGAAACCAAUUCACUUGAGUGAGACAGAGGAGAUUGGAAUUUCGUGUGUAGGGGUGAAAUCCGGAGAUCUACGAAGGAACGCCAAAAGCGAAGGCAGCUCUCUGGGUCCCUACCGACGCUGGAGUGCGAAAGCAUGGGGAGCGAACGGGAUUAGAUACCCCUGUAGUC
rnacentral:rRNA from 1 species